CUAGUUGGUAGGGUAACGGCCUACCAAGGCUAUGAUCGGUAGCCGGCCUGAGAGGGCACACGGCCACACUGGCACUGAAACACGGGCCAGACUCCUACGGGAGGCAGCAGUGGGGAAUCUUGCACAAUGGGGGCAACCCUGAUGCAGCGACGCCGCGUGAGCGAUGAAGCCCUUCGGGGUGUAAAGCUCUUUCGGCAGGGAAGAUUAUGACAGUACCUGCAGAAGCAGCUGCGGCUAACUACGUGCCAGCAGCCGCGGUAAUACGUAGGCAGCAAGCGUUGUUCGGAGUUACUGGGCGUAAAGGGUGUGUAGGCGGCCUUCUAAGUUUGGUGUGAAAUCUCCCGGCUCAACCGGGAGGGUGCGCCGAAGACUGGGGGGCUAGAGUGCGGGAUGGGAGAGUAGAAUUCCUGGUGUAGCGGUGAAAUGCGUAGAUAUCAGGAGGAAUACCUGUGGUGUAGACGGCUCUCUGGACCGCAACUGACGCUGAGACACGAAAGCGUGGGUAGCAAACAGGAUUAGAUACCCUGGUAGUCCACGCCCUAAACGAUGCAUAUUUGGUGUAGGUCAUUCAGUUGAUCUGUGCCGGAGCUAACGCGUUAAAUAUGCCGCCUGGGGAGUACAGUCGCAAGGCUGAAACUCAAAGGAAUUGACG
rnacentral:rRNA from 1 species